ACUCCUAGAUUCUGGGCUAAUAUGCACUUAUCAGUGAGUACAUACCAUGUAUGUUCUUUUGUUAUUGAGUUAGGUCACUCAGGAUGAUAUUUUCUAGUUCCAUCCAGUUGCCUAAGAAUUUCAUGAAGUUCAUUGUUUUUAAUAGCUGAGUAGUACUCCAUUGUGUAAAUGUACUACAUUUUCUGUAUCCAUUCUUCUGUUGAGGGGCAUCUGGGUUCUUUCCAGCUUCUGGCUAUUAUAAAUAAGGCUGCUAUGAACAUAGUAGAGCAUGUGUCCUUAUUACAUGUUGGAGCAUCUUCUGGGUAUAUUCCCAGGAGUGGUAUUUCUGGGUCCUCAGGUAGUACUAUAUCCAAUUUUCUGAGGAACAGCCAAACUGCCCCACCUUGGGAUCCAUCUCAUAUAUAGUCACCAAACCCUUGCUGAUAGGAGCCUGAUAUAGCUGUCUACUGAGAUGCUCUGCCAAUGCCUGACAAAUACAGAGGUGGAUGCUCACAGACAUCCAUUGGACUGAGCACAGGGUCCCUAAUGGAUGAGAUAGAAAGGACCCCAGAAGCUGAAGGGGUUUGCAGUCCCAUAACAAGAACAACAAUAUGAACCAACCAGUACCCCCAGAGUUCACAGGGACUAAACCACCAACAAAAGAGUACACAUAGAAGGAAAGGAUUCUUUUGAAUAUGGUGCACAAUGAUUUAGGCUACAGUCCCCAGAAGCCACCUGUCUACACAUUUCCAAUGCUGAGGUUGCAAACAUUUGCCACUGAGCCCAGUUUAUUGCAUAGGUUCUGGGGAUCUGAACUCAGGCCCCUAGUCUUGCACAGCAGGGGCUUUCCCGAAGUUACUUCCCCAGCUCCAGGGAAGUAUUUUUUAAAAGAACAUCUGUACAGUCUGUGGGAUUUGUGGUUUUAAAAAUCCAGGUUUCAGAGUAAAAGAACUGAGCAUUAUUUCCAUGGUCAAUUUAUAUCCUGUAAGAUGUUCUCAUCUAACUUGAGGUACACCUUCCAAUAAAUUAAUCAAUUAAUUCUUAUUCCUCAUAUUACAUGUUUUUGUAGUAAAAGCUAACCAAACUUAUAAUAAUCAUAUUAUACAUGAAAUGGUCUGUCUGGAAGUAUGAGGUCUUCUGUUCAUAGACUUAGAUAUUAAUGGGAAUAAUAAUAUAUGAUUGUGGUUUUAAAAAGUCACAUUUACAAUAUUCAUAGGAAAACAUGGCGAUUGCACUCCAGUAAUUUUGUCACUGUCAUCUUUGAAACUGGCUGACAGUUUCUAAAAAGUAGAAAGGACACAUAUAUAAACCCAUUACUUCAGUGCUAUGCCUUAUUUUCACUGUGAAAUUGCAUUACCUGGGUUGAUCUUCUAUAUUGAGCUAAGCUAACAAGGGAUGGCACUUCAUAGUGGCAAGAAAUCCAACUUAUUAUCAAAAGAUGCUUUUUUGAUAAUAGAUGGUAUUAAGAAGAGUAACCCUUUGGACAAUAGAUACAUCAUUGGAUUAAAUAUCUUUUGCAACUACCAUAGACAUGAUGUUACAUAUAUUAAGAUUCUUAAGAUUCCCUACAUUUGUUUUAUUUUUAAAUACAAUGGUAAAGCAAUAGUAUACCACAAACCGAAUCCAGCUGAGGAUUAGAAAAAGCAGCUCAAGAGGCGCUUGAAUACUUUAUAGUUGUUGAACACUGAAAGAAGUUUACAUUCAAGUCAAAUCAUGGCAAAGUGUUAGGUUUUACAUACCAAUAAUAUGAAAAUAUAUUUACUACUGAUAAUUGUUGUCUGAUUUUAAUCAUUACAUAUGAUUUAUAGCACAAUUUUUAAAAUACUAAUUUAUAUAAGUCAUUCUGACUACAUUGCGGGAGUAGCCACUGGAAAAAAUAGAAAAAAUCAGAGUCUUUUUGAGAACCUGAUGAUCAUGCUCUGCAGUAUGUCUGUCUGUCUGUCUGUCUCUCUCUCUCUCUUCCUUCCUUCCUUUCUGUCUGUCUUUCUUCCCCUUGCUUAAAUUCUAGAUAAAUAUACCUUUAUUAAACCCAAAUUCUGCUUUAUAAAGAAAAGUAAAUUUUGAAAAUUAAAUCAUAUAAAUCUAAUGUAAACAAAAUAAAUUAAUAAUGUAAUGUAAUAAUGUAAACAAAAUAAAGAUUUUUGACAAGUACUCC
rnacentral:lncRNA from 1 species